GAUGAACGCUGGCGGCGUGCUUAACACAUGCAAGUCGAACGAGAAGUGAAGACGGAAACCUUCGGGCGGAAGGCUUUAUUUCGAGUGGCGGACGGGUGAGUAACGCGUGGGUAACCUGCCUCAUACAGGGGGAUAACAGUUGGAAACGACUGUUAAUACCGCAUAAGACCACAGCACCGCAUGGUGCGGGGGUAAAAACUCCGGUGGUAUGAGAUGGACCCGCGUUCGAUUAGCCAGUUGGCGGGGUAACGGCCCACCAAAGCGACGAUCGAUAGCCGAUCUGAGAGGAUGACCGGCCACAUUGGGACUGAGACACGGCCCAAACUCCUACGGGAGGCAGCAGUGGGGAAUAUUGCACAAUGGGGGAAACCCUGAUGCAGCGACGCCGCGUGAGUGAAGAAGUAUUUCGGUAUGUAAAGCUCUAUCAGCAGGGAAGAAAAUGACGGUACCCGAGUAAGAAGCCCCGGCUAACUACGUG
rnacentral:rRNA from 1 species